AUGGUUUCGACCGGAUGGCUAGAAGCGUUUGCGGCGUGCCGUGGUUGGUCGGCUGGCCACGUAAAAAGCCGUCCACACAGUUAUCUGCUGAAGAUAGCUACGCUCUGGCCGCCUAGUUUAGGCCGCCCGGACUGAGAGCCUUCGUCGGAGAGGCUCAAAAGUCCGUUAAUAAUUCCGAAUCGUCCCGGGCCAACCGCGGGGAACUCCCGGGACUAAAAAACGUGCCCUGCUAACCUGAGCAGAACCGUGUCGCUGCGGGUCGUUCGGGCGAAGGCGUAAAUGCAUGCGAAUACGCACGUAGAUGCAGACGUGGAAACGUUACGGGACGCGGGUUCGAUUCCCGCCGCCUCCAUUG
rnacentral:tmRNA from 1 species